GCCCCCCUCCUUCCGCGGCCCUUGAAUUGAAGCCCUUCCUUCGGCCCUUCUUUUCUUCGCUUCCGUUCAGUCUUUCUUCCCCUCUCUCCCCAUUCAUGAUUCACGAACGGUGAAGUAGCAAAACCUCCAUUGACUAUUCACUCUCUCUUCUUUCCCGACGACCGUCUUUUUCUGAUCUACUGAGAGUGUGGCCGCCGUUCAGCAAGUUGCGGGUGUGUGGCUGCCGAAAGAACCGUUCCCUAUCGAUCUCUUUCCCCCCUCCCUGUCAAUCUGUUUUGCCUGUGUUGAGUGUGGCUGCCAAACCGCCGUUCAUCUUCUGUCCGAAUGACGAACGCCAAGCGGUUAACGAUGUUGCUGCCAUUUGGGUUCUAUGAAGGAAAGGAUGCUUAAGCUAAAAUUCAAUUAUGGAGAAAGUUGGUUAAAGAAUCAGCUGGUGCAAAUUAUGUCAAGAAAUUUGCAAAUUCUUCACUUUGAUGAUUUGUGAAGGAAAGGAUGCUUAAGCUGAAUGAAUUUGACUGUUGUUAGAAACUGCUAGUCUUUUAACCAUAAUAAAAUUAUGGCAUGAAUUUUAGAAAC